AAACUGAAGAGUUUGAUCAUGGCUCAGAUUGAACGCUGGCGGCAGGCUUAACACAUGCAAGUCGAGCGGAGUUUUGGUGCUUGCACCAUAACUUAGCGGCGGACGGGUGAGUAAUGCUUAGGAAUCUGCCUAUUAGUGGGGGACAACAUCUCGAAAGGGAUGCUAAUACCGCAUACGCCCUACGGGGGAAAGCAGGGGAUCUUCGGACCUUGCGCUAAUAGAUGAGCCUAAGUCGGAUUAGCUAGUUGGUGGGGUAAAGGCCUACCAAGGCGACGAU
rnacentral:ncRNA from 1 species